rnacentral:rRNA from 1 species
UGUAGGCGGCCCUCUAAGUUUGGUGUGAAAUCUCCCGGCUUAACCGGGAGGGUGCGCCGAAUACUGAAGGGCUAGAGUGCGGGAGAGGAGAGUGGAAUUCCUGGUGUAGCGGUGAAAUGCGUAGAUAUCAGGAGGAACACCGGUGGUGUAGACGGCUCUCUGGACCGUAACUGACGCUGAGACACGAAAGCGUGGGUAGCAAACAGGAUUAGAUACCCUGGUAGUCCACGCCCUAAACGAUGCAUAUUUGGUGUGGGUCAUUCAGUUGAUCCGUGCCGGAGCUAACGCGUUAAAUAUGCCGCCUGGGGAGUACAGUCGCAAGGCUGAA